CCUGAAAAAAUAGGAGGUCCAGCCUGCCCAGUGACCAAGUUAAACGGCCGCGGUACCCUAACCGUGCGAAGGUAGCGCAAUCACUUGUUCUUUAAAUGAGGACUAGUAUGAACGGCAUCACGAGGGUCUCACUGUCUCCCCCCUCUAAUCAGUGAAACUGAUCUCCCCGUGAAGAAGCGGGGAUAAAUAUAUAAGACGAGAAGACCCCAUGGAGCUUUAAACUCAAUUUCAACUACCAUAAAUAAAUCAUAAAAAUAGGUGGCCAUGACUAUUAGUUUUCGGUUGGGGUGACCACGGAGCAAAACACAACCUCCACGACGAAUGACUCUCUACCUCUAAUCAUAGAGUGACGACUCAAAGAAUCAACAAAUUGACCCAUUUGACCCAAAUUUUUGAUCAACGAAC
rnacentral:rRNA from 1 species